rnacentral:rRNA from 1 species
GUCUACGGCCAUGCCACUCUGAACGUGCCCAAUCUUGUCUGAUCUCGGAAUCUAAGCAGGUUGGGCCUGGUGAGAUGAGAGACCACCUUGGAAUACCAGGUGCUGUAGGCG